rnacentral:lncRNA from 1 species
AUCAGCUUAGAGAUGCGGAGACAGGCUGCAAAGAACCGAGAACCCGGCGAAGGUCACAGCCGGCAGGUCCGGACUCAGCGGCCCUUCUCUCUGUACAGAAGACAUUUCCUGGCGCCUCCCAGCACAGGGCCUCCAGGCCUUUGUGUGUAUGGUGACACUUUUGCCCAGACUCACACUUCUUCCAGCACCCACUCAACAUUUCUGACGCCCAUGUGAGUCUGCUUCCAGCCCCACCCCAUGGGCACCCCUCCACGCCCACCACAGGAGGGAGCAGGAACCUGCCACCCAGGGGUGAGAGUGUGGGAUGCAGUCCCCAGCCCCCCUCUCCUGGCCCCGUGGCCAGCACUGGGGCUGUGUCCCCUGGGCUGUCGGCAGCCCAGCCUGGCAUGCAGCCUUGGGCAAGAUGCCCCACUGCACCCUCCCCCCACAUUCCGGCCCCAGAGUGGGGUGGAGAUAGAGGAGGAAGGGUCAGUGGGUCCAGUCCUCGAUGCCACUGAAGGCAGCACUGGCCAGCCAGGGCCCUUCCCUGGGCACCAUCUCCUGGACCUGCUCCAUCCAAGUCCCCACCAAACACAAGAGCCCUUUCUAAGGAGGGAAGCCCUGGCCACGAUGGGAGCCUCUGCAUCCAAAUGG